UCGCCAAGAGAGCCUGGCGAACGUAGCAGAAUAUGGUUUGAAGAUGAUGUUCAUCAUGUUCUAACUGAAAACACAGGAACAAACAAGGUUAAAGGUAUCAUCGUCAAGUUGGCCGAACCCCAUGAGAUACACUUGAAUGCUAAAAGCUUCUCAAAUAUGAAAAAUCUUCAAAUUUUUAUAAAUUGCAAUGCAUCCUUUACUGGAGAAGUCGAGUAUCUUCCAAACGAGUUGAGGUUCCUUGAUUGGCCAAAAUGUCCAUUGCCAUCUCUGCCAGACAACUUUAAUCCCAGGAAACUUAUUAAACUGAACAUGCCUUGCAGCUACAUGUUACAACUCGGACAGGGACUUAAGAACUUACAAAAUUUGAAAACUAUGAAUCUGGAAGGCUCUAAAUUCCUAACAAAAGUGGUCAAUUUUUCGGG